rnacentral:tRNA from 1 species
GGGCGGUUAGCUCAGCUGGGAGAGCGCAUGCUUCACACGCAUGAGGUCACUGGUUCGAUCCCAGUAUCGCCCACCC